rnacentral:tRNA from 1 species
UCCCUGGUGGUCCAGUGGUUAAGACUCUGCACUUCCACUGCAGUGGGCACAGGCUCAAUCCCUAUUAGGGGAA